rnacentral:rRNA from 1 species
CCUACGGGUGGCAGCAGUAGGGAAUCUUCCACAAUGGGCGAAAGCCUGAUGGAGCAACGCCGCGUGGGUGAAGAAGGUCUUCGGAUCGUAAAACCCUGUUGUUAGAGAAGAAAGUGCGUGAGAGUAACUGUUCACGUUUCGACGGUAUCUAACCAGAAAGCCACGGCUAACUACGUGCCAGCAGCCGCGGUAAUACGUAGGUGGCAAGCGUUAUCCGGAGUUAUUGGGCGUAAAGGGAACGCAGGCGGUCUUUUAAGUCUGAUGUGAAAGCCUUCGGCUUAACCGGAGUAGUGCAUUGGAAACUGGGAGACGUGAGUGCAGAAGAGGAGAGUGGAACUCUAUGUGUAGCGGUGAAAUGCGUAGAUAUAUGGAAGAAUACCAGUGGCGAAAGCGGCCCUCUGGUCUGUAACUGACGCUGAGGUUCGAAAGCGUGGGUAGCAAACAGGAUUAGAUACCCUAGUAGUC